rnacentral:rRNA from 1 species
AGUGGUGAUAAUAGCAUAUUGAAAGCACCAUUCCCCAAAGAUCACUGAAGUUAAGCAACACUGAGCGUGUUUAGUAUCCAGAUGGGUGACUAUCUGCACAUUUGUGUGGUGCUGGCU